rnacentral:misc_RNA from 1 species
UAUUUCCUGGAAAUUUACCGUGAGACUUUCGGGAUGACAAUUUUUUUCCGAAUUAAUUGGCUACUGCCGGUUAUAUUGGCCUGCACUGGCUUAUCUGCGACUGAACUGGACGUUAUUUACGAAUGGAAAUACGUUGACUAUGUAUGGCAAAGUACGGAUCAAAAACAAGAUGCCAUCGAACAGGGUGUUUACAACCACUCGAGAAUCUUGAUGUUUGACCAACAGCCACUGCCAGAUGGCCGACGAAUGGUAACAACUCCGAAAUUCUACAAUAACCCGGCGACUCUAUCGACGAUUUCGGACGCAACCGGCGACGGUGGUCCAUUGCUGGCUCCGUACCCAGAUUGGAGCUGGCACAAUAAGUCAUCGGGAGACUGUUCGGGGAUCACGAGCGUCAACAGAGCAGUUAUCGACGACUGCGGCAGAAUUUGGAUAGUGGACUCUGGUACAAUCGGCAACGAACUGAUAUGCCCGGCCAAGAUUCUCGCCUUCAGCUCGACGACCGACGAGCUGCUGGAGAGCUUUGAAUUCUCGAGCGAUUUACUGCGCGGUCCCUGGAACAACGACACGGGAAUACUCGAAAUACAAGUCGUAGAAUGCUCUGCUAACGCUUGCGACGAUUACUGGGUAUACAUUGGCGAUGUAUCGAGCUACGGCAUGGUGAUUUUCAACGGAGAGAAGGCGUGGCGAUUAAACGAUGAGAUUUUCCUCCCGUCCGAAGCUGGCUCGCAAUUUAGCAUUGCUGGAGAAAAUUUCACCAUGGGCAUUGGACCUUCUGGCUUUUUGUUAACUCUCGAUGGAUUUCUGAAGGAGAAAUAUUUGAUGUUUAAGGCCUUAUCUUCCUUUAAGACGUACGCGGCUUCUUUGGAAGACAUGCAUAAUACCCAGUACUCGGGAAGUAACGUCACAUACUACGUUAGCAAUUGGACAGCAUCGAGUCAUGAAGUUGGAAAGGUUUUUACAAAAUACGGAGGUAUCGUCAUCACUGGAUUCACUGAUGAAACGGAAUUGGUGUGUUGGAAUCUACAGAAUCCUCUGGAUAACGGCUACGUCGGUGUUCUGGAGCAGAGUGAAACUACCUUGCAGUAUAUUUCCAGCGUCAAGCCCAUAAUAGAAGACGGUAGUGACAUCGAGACAGUCUGGGUAUUGACGAAUAGAUUCCAGAAGUACGUAUUGGGCACGAUGAAUUUCGACGAGAUAAACUUCAGAAUGAUAACGGCCGACGUCGCUGCCCUUGUCAAAGACACUGUAUGCGAACCGGAGGAUCACGAAGUUUUGGAUAGUAUACUUGAUAUAAAUUUUCUUUACCUGAAAACUGUAUCCGUAUAAACUGUCACCGACCGUAUUAGCGUGGCGCGUAGCGUGCGAAACUAAAUUCUUGAUAUUACGGACGAACACGUUGGAUUUGCGAGGGUUUAUCGUUUGGGGUCGCAUAGAAACAUCGCUACCGAGUGCGAUUAAUAUUUUUAUGGACUUCACGGCUUCAUAUAAGUCUUGGAUCAAUAAAAUACCGAUCGCAGUACAUCGUGCAAGAAGGGAAUAAUUGACUUUUAUUCCUGUGUUACAUAAAAACGUUUGUUCUCGACUUAUUAUCAACUCUGGACACAUUGUUGACUUGAAAAACGGGACUCACUCGGUAUACAUAUGAUAUGUUACGAUAUUUAUAGACUUUAUAGAUAUAUGUUGUAACGCUAAUUUGUUAUACCAUCAGCUGAGGACUCACCGUUGACACUUUGGUGCGAUUCUCUAAUUACUCUGAAUUCAAUGAACAAGAAUAAAACGAUAUCUGUUGGGCGCCAGACGCUUCAACAUCGAUUUCGAAAUAAA